AAAUUUCGGGACGAAAUUUCUGUUAAGGUUGGUAGGAUGUAACGCCCCGUUUUUCUGAACCUAAUUUUUGAACCCUAAAGUACUUGUAUUUAAUGCUAUUAAUAUUUCGAAGUUCGUGAUUUAAUUGUCAGUGAAUUAAUUAUUGGUGAAUUAAUUGUUGCUGGACUAGAGAUUUGUGAAAUAAAUUACUGCGCGAAUCUAAAAUAAUUCAUGUCCGUGAGGAAUAUUUAUUGGACUCGAUUCCGUGUUGGAUCCGAUAAAUUAAAUAAAUAAUAUAAAAAUCCAGUCCGUGAUAAAUAAAUUGGGGACUGCACAAUUUAAAAUAAAAUACAAAGGACCGUGAAUUAAACCAAUAUAAUUAAUUUUCCCGGUUGAUUUGGUCAUCAACCGGCUUUAAUUUUAUUUAAUUAAAGAUUCUGUAGAGAUUUUCCCCCUCCGUGAAAAGAUAUUCAUCCUCCAUGAUUUGCAAUUAAAUCACAAAUAAAUUGAUAAGAAUCAUUCACGUCAGAAUCCCCCCUCAACCCACGUUGAAAAAAACGCUCCCUCUCUCCCCAAAUCUCUCCCAUAUCUGUAACCCCCUCUAUAAUAUUCACGUCAGACUCAUUCUUCCCCCUAUUCAUUCUCUGCAAUCAAGAAACCAAGACUUCUCCUUUCAACUUCUAUUCAAGAAAUCGAGAACUAAGGAGAGGGAGUUCCUGUUCCGUCCAGUUGCAAAUCUGCAAAUUGAAGGUGAUACCUCGCAAGGGAAAGAACGUAAUUUCGGAUUAAGCACUCGAGGUUGAGCGGCGACGAGCAAUUGGUGGUGUUGAGCAAUUUAAAAUUGAAGCAUGGUUUGGUUAGUUGUUGAGGAAAUUAGUCGUACGGAGCGGGUGACCGCCCCCUCCUGCACCCCCUAGAUCCGUUACUAACUCCCUCCGUCAUACAAUAAAAAUCAUGUUUUGUCAUUUCAGUUCGUCUCAUAAUAAGAGUCUUAUUUAACUAACUUAUUCAAUUAACUUUUCUUUACAUUUUUAUAAAAUCCGUACCAAUACUAAAUAGGACUCCUAUUCGGGGACGGAGGGAGUAUUUAUUUGA